AAAGGCCUGUGGAUCGAGGCGUGCAGAGCACUGGCCUAGAAGGGAAAUUGCCCCUCAAUGUACGAGGCUUUCCAACAAUUACUUCCAGCGAUACAACGACCAUAUUUCACUCCGUUGGCACGCUUUCAAGAUGGCGCAAGGCGAAUCCAACAAGCUUCAGAUCAAGCAAAAUACGAGAAAGCUCAGCGAAAAUCGGCGCAAAAGAUCAAUGAUGAGAAAGCAGGAAAAGACGAGGUAGAUGCUAGGGUUUUGCUCUUAGGUAUGUAUAGGUUCCGGUUGAACUCACGCAACCUCCUCCAAUAUAUAUAUAUAUAUAUAUAUAUAUAUAUAUAUAUAUAACCAAGGCAAGAAUCUUGUUUCAACGUGUCUAAUCCGUGUAGAACAAGAUAAGUCUUAAGAUUAUGCGGGAUACAGAUUAAGAUUAGGAUUAGGAUAAAGAUAAAGCCAAAAUUAAAAAUAAAAUAAAAUAAAUCGGGUGUAUGGACUGCGCGCGUCGCUGCCGGCCUAGCCUGACUAGGCUCGGCUCGUGCUCAUGUCUUGCGUGUGUUUAAACGAGAGCAUAACUGUAAUACACUGAACUUUUGCGAAUUGCGGAGUUCGAGUGUGUGGAAUGGAAUGUGGAACUAUCCUACAUGUUCUAUAGGACUUGGAUAAGUUUUUGUACAAGUUGGAGAGUGAUUGGAGGGUAAAAAGUAAGAAGGUGCAUUGAACUGGCGAAAUCAGCAUUUUUCUGCAUUGUGUACCGGUACAGCCAUCAUCGUGUACCGGUACACAUUGGCAGAUACGUGGCAACAAGGUUAUUUUGAUAAUUUCACAUUUGAUCUCUAUCUUAUGUCCCCCCAGUGCGACUCCUGAAGCAUCUUGAAAGGCAGUCGAGCUCAGAGAAAGGUUCUUUCACCUUCUCCACUCUCUCUCUAGGGUUUUUCUCUCUCUACUUAGAAUUCGGCGAAUUCGCUCGUUUUCGUCGCAACGUUGGUUUUCCGCGGGUUGCGAGCAUCACAGAGCCUUCUUGGAUGAGUGAGGGAGUAUUUUGGAGAGCUUUUCGCAGCUCUGGACCAGUAGGACACUGGUUGGAUGUUCGAUAAGCAGGUUCUCGAACCAAAUUGAGCUUAAUUGGUGACCAGGGAGACUAGUUUGGAAGGUGUUCUAACCAAGGCGAGAGUGCGAUCGACCCUUGGAUUGUCUUUGGCUGACCGGUGAGUGCUCUAGGAGAUUCAUCUUGAGCAGGGUUGAGGCCUAGUAAACUGAAUUCGGGACUUCUUUUGGGCUGAUUUGGAGCUUAGUAAUAGGUGGGUUUGACCUAACCAGAGCAAGUGGAGCUCUCCUAUGUUCU